AAAUUAUUCAUAGUAAAAGUGAAAGCAACCUAAGUCUUCAUAAACUAAUGGUUGGAUGGACAAAAUUUGGUAUAUCCAUAAAAUAGAAUAUUAUUGGGUAACAAAAAGGAAUGAAGUAUUGAUACAUGUUACAACAUGAAUGAACCUUGAAAACAUUAUACGAAUUGAAAGAAGCCAGUUACCCAAAGAAAAUGAAUGUUAUGUAAUUCUGUUUAUAUGAAAUAAGAAGAGCAAAUCUGUAGAGAAAGAAAAUAGAUUAGUGGUUAUCAGGAGAUAGGGGGACAAUAGGGGGCAUGGGGACGUGACUGCUAAUGAGUAAGCAUAUUAUUUUUGAUGUUAUUCUAAAAUUAGUUGAUGAUGAUGGUCCCACAACUCCGUGUAAAUAUUAAAAACCUUUGCAUUGCACAGUUUAAGUAGGUGAAUUGUAUGACAUGUGAAUUAUAACUUAAUAAAGCUGUUUAAGGAAAAAAAAAAAAACUUCUAUGCAUUAUACCUUUUGUCAGGUACCUUACUUUGGGUGUGUACAUGGAUUACCUACAUUUCCUCUACCCUCUGAGAUGGAUACAGAUUGGAGGGAGGUGUCACGGUAACUAAAACAGUCCAGGCAUCCCUGGCAUUAGCACUUACUUAUUCAAGGUGGGCCUUGUAUUGCUCCAAAGUGGGAAAUAUUCCUGGGUAAUAUUUCUGGUUUAUUCCAUAUGCCCACCAGUAGGUUUGCUACUAAACAUCCUCGAUGCUGUGCCCUGGGCAUGAUGCUUCUAUUCAUUGCCGUCUCUCUUCCACAGGGCUCUGCUGACAGUCUUCUCUCCUGCUCCACUUGUCACACUGGGGGCUGCUGCUGUUACUCUGGGUGUGCCACACCAUACAGGGUGCCUCUGCUGCUCUGCAUUGCCUCUUUGGCCUUGUCGGAUGCCACAGACCAUGUCUGGUGUCUACUGCUGGUCUGCUAGAACCUCACCAGACUCCCUGGCCACACAUACAGUCUAAAUCCCAUUGUGAUGUUCUGUGCUGCCAAGUAUUGUGCUUUGGGAUCAAAGUGUUGAGAAGGACAGUGACUCUUUCAAAUGUCAUUCCAUUGGGGUCAACUCUAGUGAUUUCUCACUGUAUUUGACAGUUUAGUGCAAGAGCUCUCUCAGUUUUUAGAGUCAUACGUUUCCCUGUACACAUUCAUAGAGCUGGGGAGAGUGAGCAAUAGCCAAGACAUUGCUGAAAUCACAAUGUGGAACUCCUCAAGGCUAUGCAUGUACAUUAUUGCAAAGAAUAAGGCUUUGUUCCUCAUCCAUCCUCUGGUAGUCACAGCUUUAUUUUAAUUAGAGCUGUUUCCAUAAAGCUAGCAUAGAGAUAUGUGUCUGUCUACAGGACGAGUUCGUGAGAUGUGCCCAAAGCAAUGGUAAAUAAGGCUUGAGUUUUCUAGGAGGCAAUUCAGUCCUUCUGCAAAUAGAUCCUCACCUCUGCUGCUACAUUUGGUAUGCACUUUUACCUUGGCAUGCACCACGGUGCCCUGUGAUUAUUAAUUUACUUCCAUGUCUUGGUCUUCAUGUCUCUCUGUAGAUCUUUAAGGGCAGGGACAAUACAUUAUUCAACUUUAUUUAAAAAUUCUAACAUCUAUCCUAGUGUUAGAUACUGAGCAAACAUGCAGCAAAUGUGUCCUGUAUAAAUGAAACAAGUCAUAUUCCAAUUUUUUUGUUUUCCUCCUGGUUUUACUUAAUGAAACUCAUUGAACUAAAAAUAUCUAAUCUUUAUAUUCCUCCAGCAAACUAUGAGACUUAGUCCAUUUUAGAUUCUUAUUAAAAUUUACUGAAUUGCCUUUUUUGGUAUUCAUAAAUGUAUGAAAGUGACUUACCAAUUAGUGAUAAUUAUUAUUAAUUGCUUAUUAAUAGAUUAUAAUUGGAGCCCAGCACAUAUUGUUACAGGCCUUAUCAUAUUUCAGGCAACACUUCGAUUUUAAAACAAACAUUAAAAAAAAUUCUUAUUUGAUGACUCUGAGGAUAGACCUCCCACCAUAAGCCUUUAUCCAUGCUAGAGUGGAAUAGACAGAUGCAUUUCAUUUACAGCGUAAGAUAAAAUUGCUCUUUGAUAUUCAGUACUCUGUGUGGGGAAAGCCUUUUUUUUCUUUUCUGAAUUCCAGUAAUUGUCUUGUUUGUAGUCCCUUGCUGCAGACCUUUGCCUCCUGCCAACUGCUUGCCAGACGUGGUCUCAAUGUUAAGAAGGGAGAGGUUCCCAGAGAGCAUAAGAUAUAUAUUGAAAUCAAACAUUUUUCUAAAACUAUUGUUUUCCAAUUUCCACUAAAUCAUACCUUUUGUGACCCUUCUUACUCAGUGGAUUUCAAAACACUUAGCAAAAGAAUAACUAAAAUAAAAAGUCAUUACUCACAGAUGCUUUGCACACCUGAAGGGUAAAGUUGGUUUUUCUUUUGUGUGUUAUUUAUACCAAUGACACACCAUUUCUUUAUUAUUUUUGAGUUUCAUUCUUUAGGUUAACUGGCUCCACUUUGAUUUCUGCUGCUCAGCUAUGACACAACAAUUGAAUUUAAGUAUCAGCCUAUUACUUACUCUGUAUGUUUCAAAAUUCAAGGUCAGAAUAAAAAAUUAGAAAACAAAUGGGGA
rnacentral:lncRNA from 10 species